GCCUUCUAACAAAAUAACUGACCUUCGAACAGAGGUACUCCAAAAAUAAACCCUGGUUUUCUGGAAAUCUUAAAUUAGUAUACUAUGGAGCGCAUUAAUCCUCAAUUUUUAUUGCAAACUCAUAGACAAGUAAAUUUUGGCUCAAAAUGGUCUAGAUAUAUUUCUCUUUCACCAAAAGUUUCAUUUCUGCAAAUUUGUUGGUUGGUUUAAGUAAACAAGGACA
rnacentral:lncRNA from 1 species